rnacentral:rRNA from 1 species
UCCCAGGCUCCUACGGGAGGCAGCCGUGGGGAAUAUUGCACAAUGGGGGAACCCCUGAUGCAGCGCCUCCUCGUGAGCGCAGCAGAACCUCGGUCUGUCCAGCUCUAUCAUCCUGGAAGAAGCUGCCGGUACCUGCCCCCUCAGCUCCGUCUCCCUACGUGCCCUCCUCCGCGGUAAUCCGUCUGGAGCAAUCUUUCUCCGGAUUUCCUGGGUGUAAAGGGCGCGCAGGCGGCCUGGCAAGUCUGAGGUGAAAGGCCGGGGCCAAACCCCGGGACUGCAUUGGAAACUGCGCGGCUGGAGUGCAGGAGGGGCAGGCGGAAUUCCUGGUGUAGCGGGGAAAUGCGUAGAUAGAAGGAGGAACACCAGUGGCGAAGGCGGAUUGCUGGACAGUAACUGACGCUGAGGCGCGAAAGCGUGGGGAGCAACCAGGAUUAGAUACCCCGGUAUG